UGAAUAUUACUUGGGGCAGAAGAAAUCUUAAAGAGCAAAUAUCUGCAUGAGAUGCCCCUGCUGUGGAUGGAGGAGAGUCCAGUGAGUCUGAUUUCUCACUGACCCUUGUGCAAAUCGCUGGUGCCUUCACACAGGCGUGUUUUGCCAUGCCUACACCUAUUUGCCAUAGGAGUGUGCGAUGGCAUAAGUGUGAGACAGCGAGAAGUCAGAUCCAGACUCUGAACUGGUGGAGUGGUUCAUGAAGCAUGGUGGGAGCUUGCAAGGCAAGGUGAUGCUUUAGCUCUCUGAUGUGAGAUGGCCACAUGAGCUUUACCCAUCUUCCUGCCUAUCCCCUAGGAUCCCUUCAGUGCCAGGGAUUGCUGCUGUCCCAUGGGAGGCUGUGUGUCUGCUCCCUGCUGCAGGGUCACAGGAGUAGUUAUGGCUUUCAUUAGGAGGUGAGACUUUUUUUUGUUUUUUAAGAGAAAGUGGAAAAUUAUCCAAGAAGAUAACCCAAGAGCAGCACGGGGAUGAGAGGCCAGGCAGGCCCCUCUUGGCAAGCUACACCCUUGGCAAAGUCAGUCCAGCAGGGAGGAGAUUGUAGGCUAGACACACAGGGCUGUUGUAAAGAACGGUAAAGAAAGGUAAACUGGGACAGAGCCACCCUUUAGAGCCUCCUCCCAUGUGAUGUUCAACAUUGUCAUGUUUUAAAAAGAGGUUUUCUUUGACAGUAAAACUCUUAAAAGUCUGCAAAACCCUCAUGGGACACAGUGAGUUGACAGCUAAAAGAGCAACCUUUGAGAGUCCCACAUCCCAGGAGCCUCUCCACCCCUCUCACAGAGAGGGAGGGGCAGGAGGGCAGUGAUGAGAAUUUAGGAACUUUCUGACAAGUCUUGCGGAAAAUGGAGCUGCAUCCUCAAAUUUGAGUUAUCCUCAAGCUACUCCUCAUUUCCAGAGUUCACUCUUAAAGCCUUUAUUUCUUUUUCACAGACAUCUCAAAUAACAAAACAGUCACAUAUGCAAGAGUUGGCAUGGAAUGGGAUUUAGAGAAAUGUGUCUUUACAGGAAGCAUCUCUAUAUUCUCACACAGAAGGAGGAAAAGGAAGAGAGGGAGAAAUAUCUGACUCCUCAAAAAAGAGAAAGGGAGAACAGGAGAAAAACAUCAGGAUGAAACAGCACAGUUUGGUCAAGGUGGUACCAUGCUGAAAAAUAACUCGAUCCCUGGAACUCAACUUUAUCUUCUACUUUCUAGCUAAAGUCUUUCCCUAAGUACUGAUACACAGUGUUGAAUCCUUUCUUUACAGGUCCCUGCAGGCCAGCUGAAGUCCCUCUUGUCAUAACCUUAACAAUAUUUUUAAAAUCAAGUUGUUCUGAGAGAUGGGUGAAGAUUGUCAACUCACUGACUUAAAUUUAGCUGUAGAAAUGAGUAUUAGUGACCAUAUGUUGCCACAACAGCCAAAGUUCACUUAGCCCUCGAGUUUUUAGAAAUCAGUUUAAUUCUCCCACUCCUCUGGCUGUGUUUCUUUUAUUCAGGUGCAAUAUGGGAAUACACAAGAUCUCCAAAGUUCUUAUACCGGGUUAAAUUGCUGGUCCCUCCAGACAGACUCAAUAUACAGUUUCAAAUUUUGGCUCUGAGAGACUCUCACCAUAAGAUGGAGAUGUAUGUUCAGCCUUGUCAGAGCAGCUUUCUGAAUAUAGUUACAGUUCAUUUGCUUGUUGAGUCCUCAGUUUAGUGUUUCUGAGGAAAACUAUAAUCCCAACAAUAAAGGAUGAAAUUGCAAUCACUUUCAUCUCCAUGCAAGCUGCUUGUAAAGCAGUUAUCACCAUUGGAAAAAAAUAUGAAACUACCCAAACUGUACCUUGGAGGAGGAUUUUUUUAUUAUCAUUACCUGUGAGAUCAUUUUUUACAGGCAAGUUUGGGGAUGGAGCAAGAAAGUAACCUUUGAACAGCUCAGCCGUUCAAACGUUUAGGAUUUAAAUUCGCUCUUUGAACUGCUUCAGUAGUGCCCAGGACUGGCAGAGAAAGCUGAAGAGGUCAGACCGAAGAUUUCUGACCUCCAGCACUGGGACCACAAGGAACUCACCUCAAAUGCAAUUUCCAGGGGUUGGGGCAAGCCCUGUCCUUUCUAGUCAUUUUGCAAUUUGGGAGGGGAAGGCUGCUGUGAACAUCUCCUUUUGUUCCAACAGUUUUCCACAAUGAACACCUGUGUUUUGCAUGGUGAGCCAGGCCAUGCACCUGAAGCAUAUGUCCAUGGCUGAUCUCCAUAUGGAUACUCUUCUGCACUAGGUCCCUAAUUCAUCUCACUAGGAUUUAAGAUCUUUUAAGAUCUUGGCACCACCCAAGAUAGGUGAGUGGUCACUCUAUGUAGUGAGAGAGAGCUCCUAAAGCUGACUUAGAUGUCAGUUUUACUGGUUUACCAUCUAGAAGCAAUUGUCUUUCUUCAUUAACUAUACAAGAAAUGAAAGGAGAUGAGCUCGUUAACAUAAAGAGCUCAGUUAUGUGCUUAAGGUUAAUGGGGAUGAAAAUCCAGGCCUUUGUGUAGCUUGACUUCGUCCACAAAGGUGCUCCUCACAAAUAUACACCUGGUGCAGAAGAACAGCAUCCAUACAAAGGGCCUCUUCGUAAAGGGUAAGUGAGUCUAUUGAGAGAGCUAAUGUGGAACAGAAAUUCUGCUGUGGCUUUUUCAGUCCAUUUCUUUUCCUUAAGAAAGCCCUUGAGAUCAAGUCCUAUGACUGGAUAUACGUGUGUGGAUACGCAUGCCGCUGACUUCAGUGGGACACAACGGCAGAAUGAGGAUUUUCCCGGGAAAUAGAACUUUUUCAUUUGUUUUGAUUUAAAUCUGAGAUACAUGAGGAUUGUGAAAAAGAAACAGUCCUUUGCCUGAAAUUCUGUACAUCAACCUCACCUUAUUUCAGGCAAUCAUGAAGCUAUGGACAUUUUUCAUAAAUUUACAAAUAUAUAUACAUAUAUACACAUAUAUACAUGUAUAUGUGUGUCAGCCUAGGGGCUAGAUUUACCACUGCGUUAUUCCAGCCACACACAAGUAUAAUGGUUGGUUUUUACAAAAACAGAUUGGUAUAAAGUUGGAGUGACUGAGCAGUGACUGUUCCUGUGUCUAUGCAAAAGAUCCUUGAAUGGGCUAACAUAUAAGUACAGCCCCCUUCCCUAAGUCCCCUCAUCACAUAUACUCAGAAAUAGGAUCCAGUCUUACAGUUGUUAAUGAAGCAAAUUUCCCAUUGAUUCCAAUGAUCUGUAAUCAAAGGGAAUUUUACUUGAGAACUGAAAGUUCAAGCCCCGUUUAGGUACAGUUUACAGCUUUGAAAGUUGUAAUGUCUGUCCUACUAGGCCUCAAGAUGCAUUAAAAAAAUUCAAGCUAGUGCAGAAAAAUAUCUUCAAAAGUCCCCAAAUACGCUUUUCUGUGUUAAGUAGGGGAAAUUUUGUCCUGCAAAAGAUCAAACAACAAAUACAUAAAUGUACACACUCUAAGUGAUGGAAAUGGCCAAAUAAAAAUUGCAACAGUUUAAGUUAGAGGUCUGUGAUUGUUGUUAGUGCCCAGGAGUUAUAAAUAAUUCAGUACACUCUAACUGAAUAGUCUAAGGCUGCACUUUUAUUGUUCUGAUUACUUGAACCUUUUCCUUACGAUCUAUAUUGUUAAUGAAUAGCAUUUCUUAAAAAAAUACAGCCUUAUUCUCAACAGUCAGAUGAAAACUAUUCUUGAGAUAAAAUGUCACAAGAGCUUAAGCAAAUUAGGAGCAUUUAUAUUUAGGUUUUUCUAAACAUGUAGGCACCAAAGGCAUAUAGCAUUUUACUCCAAUUCACUGUCUGAGGAAGAAUUGGAUGCUGAGGCUCUUUCGUGGAGCUGGCCCCAGGAGAUUGAGCCAUAUUUGAUUCAUGCUCCUUGGUGUCUAACAUCACUUUGAAACUGGGGCAAAACCCACGAGUCACACAGCUUUUUGAAGACUCGACUCUUUAUCUCAUCUACUGCAGAAUCACUGUUACUGUUUGUGUAUUUCUGACCAGCUGGCAAAAUAACAAGGCCACUUGAAGGAAUUGCCUUUACAGAGAUAUUUCUGUGCUAUGCUGCCACAGGUAGGGCUCAAAGCCACGGGAUGUGGAGCUACCAGCUGUGCCGAGGAACAUUAGCCGCAGUCUUCUGCAUGUCAGUGCUGCUGACAGCCCACACCAGCCCUCUGCAUAGGACACAGGCAGCGUCCUGCCAUGGUGCUGCCUCUCGCACGAUGGGAUUUUUACACCAGGGGAUCAUAAACAUUUCUGAUUUGGAAGCGAUAUGGUGUGAUUUGUUCUCCUGUGACUGAGGCCAUCCAUGUUACAGAAGCACCUUGCAACAGCAGGUUGCAAGAAUCAAUUUUGUGAAUACCAAGGCUGUCCUAAUGGGACUUCAUUUUCCCUCAGCCUUACUCACUCAGAAAGUGACACCUGUACAUAUUGCACACAUGUACCAGGGUCUGUGGCACUAGAAGGUAGGAAGGACUUGUGGACACAACUGAAGGUAGGCAGGACUUAUGGACACAACUGCAUUUUUGGAGGUAGGUUGGCUAGCGCAGGACUGACUGGAUCAGAAGUAGCUCUGUAGAAAUCCUACAUUGAAGAGCACUGAUGGUCAGCUCUGGAGCCUUAAUGCAGUGUUUCAGGAUGUUCCUGCUCUGAGCUGUUCACUGCCUCCCUUUUGCUGGAUGUAUCUGCCCAAAGGCAAAAUGGGCAGAAAGAAACGUGUAUUUGUGUCAUCUCAACUGCUUCCUUUCCCUGCAUCUCUGGGAUCAGAACAAUACCGGCAACUCUUUCUGAAAUAUCCAAAUACAUUUUGAUGGUGCAUACCCAACUGGUCCCAGUUGUAUUGUGCUUCCCCACGUCUCUUCAGGAGAUAGUUUCCAUGUGUUCUGCACGCACAGCCUAGCACGCACACAGAUGGCAUCUGAAUUGCACUGCAACUCCUGAGUUAAUUAUAAAAGAAUAGAAAACAAACUAUUAUGCUGCAUUUUGCCGUGUGUUUCCUCUCUGUAUAGUACACAUAUUUACAGGUUACUAGCACCCACAUCAUGUGGGAUGUGCAUGUGUGUGUGUCUAAGGAAGAAGGGGAGCAAGGGUGUCCAUGUAUAUACACCCUAUGCAAGAAAACUUUUGAAGUCACUUUCUGCCACUCUGCAGGAGUGUUAAUCAGUGAAGGAAAAAUAUAAAAGUGCAGUCCUAGGAGGGUCUGGCAAUUCCUGCUGCUGAUGCUGCAGGCGACAUUGGAUUGUCCUCACGUAAUUCUACCAAUGCUCGUCAAUUCUGACCUAUAGCAACUGCUGUUAGGCUUCUUUUUUUCCCUUCCCCACCUUCCCUGGAGAUAAGCUAUCUAAGCCUCUGUUAUUUUCAUUGCAAAUCUUCCCUGAGCAAGGAAGGACAACUGAUCUGUGAUUCUGGAGUGCUUUACUAGAGGUGACCAGCAUUUCAUUUCCCUCUUGUGGCCUAUAUUGAGGCAAUUGUCUAGGCUUUCUCCAAGUUAAAUCCUAAACACGUGCAAGGCAUACUGCAAUUAAAUUGGCAGCAUUGUACCAGGCUCUAGAAGGAAAGGUAGCAUCUGAUGACUGUUUAAAGCCAAAGAUUAGAUAUUGUAUGUAAGCACACAGUUAAUUUUCAGUGUUAACCAAGACAGCACUAAAACAUUUUCUAAGGCACCUGAUCCAAACCUCACUGGAGCGAAGGGGAAGCUUUUUAACGGAUUUCAACAGACUAUGGAACAGAUGCAUUAUAUUCCUGGCUAUAACUCGAAACAUUAGGACUAUGAGUUUUGAGCUAAGCCCUGUCUUUGUGAGUUUUCGGCUUAGACUGUCAGAAUCAAGAUUUUAUAGAUCUGGCCUGGAGUUUGUGAUCAAACUUCAGGCUUUUUUGAAACUCGGUUCCCGACCUUGGAAAUUCAUCCACCAGUAAUCUUUACAUGCUGCUUGUGCUUCACGCACACUCUUUGUCUCUCAGUGGCGCCUUACAAUCAUUCAGAGCUGUCUCAGUUUUUCACCUUGAGUCUUCCCUUGCUGGCUGGAUGAGCACAGCAGUAUGGGCCAUGAAGGAACGCAAAACCUGGGGGUAAGGAAAUGCAGUGUUGGUUUGUGUGAAUGUGCCUGAUCACUCCUACUGCCCUUCUAGGCCUAUGUAGAGACACACAGAAGAAAAAGCCCAAAUAAUGUAUGUCUUUAUUUAAGCUAUACUUGGUAACAUAUUAUUUCCUCUCCAUUUCACUGCUGGCAGUUAGCUUGGCACUCAAGAAUUAAGGACAGAUUACAGUGAUUUUCUUCUGAGCUCUGCUUAUCAGUGGGCUCCAGGGAUGAGCCUGAUUUGGUGGUGCUGCAUAGUGGGUAAAUGGACAGCCAUGGAGACACAGUCUUCCAGGAACCCUUGGGAAUCUGAGAUACCCCCUGCACAUCAAUCCUCUCCCUCACCAACACUGUUUUUUUCACCAUCCAACGAACUGCACAGCUAACAUGCCAUAGUUAAAAGUGGUCCCAAAUGACUCGCAUCUACGGGAAAGCAGAAUACCUGAACUCUCACGAUUCUCUCCUUGGAGGAUGAGGAUCCUCUGUUUAGAGGACUCCAAGACUUUUUUUGUGUUUAGUUUGUGUGGGGGUUUUUUUGUUUGGUUGGCUGGGUUUUUUUUUCUUUCAUGUUACUGCAGCUGAAAUAACAUUUAAAAGAGUAAUUGCAAUUUUUCAGAAGCAAUACUUCAGAGAAAUUACUCUGGUCACUGGUGGUUUGUGAUCCACUUGUGACUGUCCCUGGGGUAGAAUGAAAGAAGAAAAAAGCC
rnacentral:lncRNA from 1 species